GUUGAACGCUGGCGGCAGGCCUAACACAUGCAAGUCGAACGAGUGGCGGACGGGUGAGUAAUGUCUGGGAAACUGCCUGAUGGAGGGGGAUAACUACUGGAAACGGUAGCUAAUACCGCAUACCAUCGGAUGUGCCCAGAUGGGAUUAGCUAGUAGGUGGGGUAACGGCUCACCUAGGCGACGAUCCCUAGCUGGUCUGAGAGGGUGACCCGCCACCCUGUAACUGAGACACGGUCCCGACUCCUACGGGAGUCAGCAGUGUGGAAUAUUGCACAAUGUGCGCAAGCCUGAUGCAGCCAUGCCGCGUGUAUGAGGAAGGCCUUCGGGUUGUAAAGUACUUUCAGCGGGGAGGCGUUACCCGCAGAAGAAGCACCGGCUAACUCCGUGCCAGCAGCCGCGGUAAUAC
rnacentral:rRNA from 1 species